UGAGGAAUAUUGGUCAAUGGGCGAGAGCCUGAACCAGCCAAGUAGCGUGAAGGAUGACUGCCCUAUGGGUUGUAAACUUCUUUUAUAAAGGAAUAAAGUCGGGUAUGGAUACCCGUUUGCAUGUACUUUAUGAAUAAGGAUCGGCUAACUCCGUGCCAGCAGCCGCGGUAAUACGGAGGAUCCGAGCGUUAUCCGGAUUUAUUGGGUUUAAAGGGAGCGUAGAUGGAUAUUUAAGUCAGUUGUGAAAGUUUGCGGCUCAACCGUAAAAUUGCAGUUGAUACUGGCGUCCUUGAGUGCGGCAGAGGCAGGCGGAAUUCGUGGUGUAGCGGUGAAAUGCUUAGAUAUCACGAAGAACUCCGAUUGCGAAGGCAGCUUGCUAGACCGUAACUGACGCUGAUGCUCGAAAGUGCGGGUAUCAAACAGGAUUAGAUACC
rnacentral:rRNA from 1 species